GCUGGGCAUGGUGGUGCACGCCUGUAAUCCCAGCUACUUGGGAGGCUGAGGCAGGAGAAUCACUUGAACCCAGGAGGCGUAGGUUGCAGUGAGCCGAGAUGGCGCCACUGCACUCCAGCCUGGGCAACAGAGUGAGACUCUGUCUCAA
rnacentral:SRP_RNA from 1 species